rnacentral:lncRNA from 1 species
ACCUCCAAUUGGCCUGACCUACUGCUGUCUUCCUGAGUUUUGAAAUAACCAUUCCCUAUGGUUUGAGGGAGCCUCAGGGAUCAACAGCAUGGAGCAACAUGAUUGAGGGUCUACAAUACAAUAGAGACAAAGAGGAUAAUCAGAUAAGUAACAUUGGUACACAAUAAAAAAGUCAGUAUUGAUAAAUUAUGGCCAUGUCAAUAUCUUGUAAAGCAGACAGACCUUGAUUACACUCUCCUUUCUGUCUCACUCAUUUAGAUUUUGUUUGUUCUCUUCAAGAAAAAUCUGGCAGAGAUGCCUCCUGGCAUCUUGGAGGGUAACCAUUGUACCCCCCUUCACUCUUACAUUUGAGCUCCUCAUCCUUGUGAGUGAGAGGAUGGUCGGCAUGAUUCCAAAGUCACCCCAAACCAGAAAGGAAACUAUUUCAAUUUAGAACAUUAAAAUAUAUAUAUAUAUAUAUAUCCACAGGGGCUCCAGGAGUUAACUUCUACUUUCAAUGACCUAUUUUGAAAUGAGGCUGCCUUUCUAGGGGGCUGUCCUAAUGAAGGUCAGCCAAGAAAGCCAGCAACCAGCCUGGCCUUUAGAUUUUAGUAGCAAACAGUCAGGGGGUCCAAGCUCCAGGAUGAGAAGAUUGAAAACAUCUAGUCUUUUAAUUUUUAAUGGGUAGGUACUUGAUUCUUUCUUCCAACAGAAUGAAGGGAUCUUUAAAAAGUGAGUUAAGGGAGCUGGCUUUCUUUAUGCUGUUCAAUGCUUUAUAGAAGGCCCAGCAUUGAAUGUUAUAAAAACCUUUUUUGCUUGGUGUCAGCUCUUUCUUAAUGAUCAUUCAUGCCAGUGAGAUGCCCACCCAGAUGGACCUGGCCUACUUAGUUUACCUGAAGAGCGUGGACAUGCACAAGGUCCCGUGCUGAGAUGUUGGUCUUCUGCGAGGAGCCCCCGUGGCAGCAUUGCAGAGAACUCCAGGAGCCAGUAAUCCGUCCUUUGGGAUAUCCAUCAGGACCUAGCUCUGGGUGCAGUCAUAUUCUACAUGAGCUUCCUCAGCCACUUCUACUGUGUUUAUGCCACAUCUACUUCACAAUCAGCCAGCACCUAACCUGA